UACGUAGGGACCAAGCGUUGUUCGGAUUUACUGGGCGUAAAGGGCGCGUAGGCGGCGAAUCAAGUCAGCUGUGAAAUCUCCGAGCUUAACUCGGAACGGUCAGCUGAUACUGUUUUGCUAGAGUGCAGAAAGGGCAACCGGAAUUCUUGGUGUAGCGGUGAAAUGCGUAGAUAUCAAGAGGAACACCUGAGGCGAAGGCGGGUUGCUAGGCUGACACUGACGCUGAAGCGCGAAAGCUAGGGGAGCGAACGGG
rnacentral:rRNA from 1 species